UGCGGAAUUUUAGAUAAUGGAGGGAACUCUGAUCUAGCGACGCCGCGUGCAGGAAGAAGGUCUUCGGAUUGUAAACUGCUGUGGUAAGGGAAAAAUGCUAUGUAGAGUGGAAAGCUACAUAGAGGGAUGGUACCUUACUAGAAAGCCCCGGCUAACUACGUGCCAGCAGCCGCGGUAAUACGUAGGGGGCGAGCGUUACCCGGAAUCACUGGGCGUAAAGGGAGCGUAGGUGGCCUAACAUGUCAACUGUGAAAACCCGGAGCUCAACUCCGGACUUGCAGUUGAAGCUGGUAGGCUUGAGGACGGUAGAGGAAGACGGAACUGCCAGUGUAGGGGUAAAAUCCUUAGAUAUUGGCAGGAACGCCGGUGACGAAGGUGGUUUUCUGGGCCGGUUCUGACACUGAUGCUCGAAAGCC
rnacentral:rRNA from 1 species